UACAUUAGCUAUAUUCUCACCGCUUUCUAUAUUAUGAUUUGGAGAGUUUAAUAAAGAAAACGAUUGAAAAAGUACCAAACUCUAUUGAACACAACGAUAAAGGACAUAUCGCUUGGGAAAAUGAUGUCUACUCCGUAUUUGGGGAGGAGGGGCGGAUAAGUGCAUGGAUUGGGACUUGGUCCAACGCCUACUAGCUUGUGGGUUUCUGGUUCCUUAUAUCAGUCGGCUUCGAAUAAUUU
rnacentral:lncRNA from 1 species